AGGUGAGUUCUCUUUUGAAUGUGUUGAGUUUGCCUUACCAGUUGGACAUCCAGAUAGCAUCUACAGGACUAGAGUAAAGAAGAAAGACUGUAAACAACUUCUCAGACUUUCCCACCAAUGUAUCCCCAAGGCCCUUGAGAAGAUUUUAUUCACAGAGAGUUUGUUUCUACAUGAUUCCGGACAAUUGUGUAUAUGCUUUGCUCAGUUAGAUCUAUGUGGAAAACUGUACCUCAAUUAAUGUGGAAGCCUUGUACACCAUUUUGGACUAGAUGCAGGCUAUUGUUAUGUAAUUUAUUUGGCACUGUGUGGCUCAUCAAAAUCCCAAAAGAAUUAUUUGAUGUAAAAGAUGGAAUAGACUCAAAUACAUGGCAUGAUGAACAGGCCAAAAGAAUUCCCUUGCCCAUGCAUAUUAUGAAGUUCUGAAAUUGAAAUGACUAAAUUCCUCUGCAAAAAAUAAGGCAUUAAUAACACAGAACGCUUCGUGGGGGGAAAGUGUUUUAGGAUGAUUAAGGUAUAAAAAACUCUCGAUAAAGAAGAGCUUAUUUUGGAAGUGCAACUGAAUUAGAAGAAAAAAGGGAAUGGCAAGUAGUGUUUCUUAAUUUUUGACUAUUUGGAGAAAAUGGAAAAUCCAAUAAAGAAUGCUUUGAGUCAGUGGCAGCUAAAAAAUUUUCUGUUUAAUUCUAAAAUGAGAGAACCUGGAUAGAGAUUGGACUGCUACAUAAAAUAUAAGAUGCCAAGUUAAAUUUGAACUUCAGGUAAACAGUAAAUAAUGUUUGAGUGUAAGUGAAUAAGUAUAACUAAG